GAUGAACGCUGGCGGCGUGCCUAAUACAUGCAAGUAGAACGCUGAAGGAGGAGCUUGCUCUUCUGGAUGAGUUGCGAACGGGCGAGUAACGCGUAGGUAACCUGCCUGGUAGCGGGGGAUAACUAUUGGAAACGAUAGCUAAUACCGCAUGACAACAGUUAUUGCAUGAUAACUGUUUAAAAGGGGCAACUGCUCCACUACCAGAUGGACCUGCGUUGUAUUAGCUAGUUGGUGAGGUAACGGCUCACCAAGGCGACGAUACAUAGCCGACCUGAGAGGGGGAUCGGCCACACUGGGACUGAGACACGGCCCAGACUCCUACGGGAGGCAGCAGUAGGGAAUCUUCGGCAAUGGACGGAAGUCUGACCGAGCAACGCCGCGUGAGUGAAGAAGGUUUUCGGAUCGUAAAGCUCUGUUGUAAGAGAAGAACGAGUGUGAGAGUGGAAAGUUCACACUGUGACGGUAUCUUACCAGAAAGGGACGGCUAACUACGUG
rnacentral:rRNA from 1 species